rnacentral:lncRNA from 1 species
CCAAGUGUCUUUGGGCCACAUUCUGAGCCGCAAGGCAUCUGGGGACCUGAAGGGGUUUUAAAGUUUGUCUGCAAGGUGUGCUAAAUCCUGGAAUUAGAUCAGAUUUAGUUUACUUUUUUCUUUUUUUUUUUUUAACGUGGAUUUUAUGUGGCUACGAAGAGUCAGAAAAAACUCUGUCCUCAGGUUCUGGAAUUAGACCUCUCUUUGAGUCUAUUUAAUCUGAGAACAGAGAUGUGGUGGUGGCUUGUGUUCCCGUUUGAUCACAGGGGUUCCCUGGAUCACGGGGUGGAGGUGGGGCUCAGGAAAGCUUUACGGGGGCAGCGUCAGGAGCCUGGCUGUGAAGGAAGUGCAGAAUCCGGCCAGGAGAAAGGCUGGGGGACAAGGUGGUGAGGACAUGAGGUGGCAGGCUCAGGUGUGGACUGCAGUAUGAACGGUGAUGGUGGAGAGAGAGCCCAGGAUGGUCUCGCUGGAUAACAACAGUGUUAGAAAAAAACCUCAGCAGGGAUGUGGCCUCUGCGUCUUAAGGCAGUUUACCCAUUCCAAGUGGAUAUUGAAUAUUUUGUGAGCUGGAAGGUGAGCCCUGCUGCAGACUGCUUAGAUCAAGUCCAAGGAUGGGGCAGAACCCCCUGGGAUGUGGGCAGCAGGGUACAUGGCAAGAGGGUGGCAAGUUGGGGUUCAAAUUCCAGCUCAGCCCCUGCUGCCUAGGCAAGUUGCAGAAUCUGUUUCAUGGGGCUCCUGUGAGGGUCAGGAGAACCUGGGGGAACAGUGUAGCACCUUGUACGCACUCUGCAAGUGGAGUGGACAUUCCUGCAUGCUCUGUUCCAGCUGGCUCUGAGCCAGCAGUAGCGGGAUCAGCAUCCCCUGGGAGCUUGUUAGACACGCACACUGUCCAGCUGCACCCCAUACCGACUGAAUCAGAAUCCUGGGGGGCGGGGUCUGAAUCUAGUUAAAUGCUGACAGCUGCCUGUUAAUCGGAGCUUCCAUUGGGGGAACUGCUGGGGCAGGGGAGAAGAGAUGCUUAAAAAAAAACAAAGACGCUGGGCACAGUGGCUCACGCCUGUAAUCCCGGCGUUUUGGGAGGCCAAGGUGGGCAGAUCACGUGAUAUCAGGUGUUCAAGGCCAGCCUGGCCAACAUGGUGAAACUCCAUCUCUACCAAAAAUACAAAAAUUAGCAAGGUGUGGUGGCAUGUGCCUGUAAUCCCUGCUACUUGGGAGGCUGAGGCAGGAGAAUCGCUUGAACCCAGAGGCAGAGGUUGCAUGAGCCAAGAUUCCACCACUGUACUCCAGCCUGGGUGACAUGGUGAGACUCUGUCUCAAAAAAAAAAAAAAAAAAAAAAAAAAAAAA